UGAGGAAUUUUCGGCAAUGGGGGCAACCCCGACCGAGCAAUACUACGUGAAGGAGGAAGGUCUACGGGUUGUAAACUUCUGUUAGUGGGGAAGAAGAACCGAAUAUAAGUUCGGUUUUGACGGUACCCGCAGAGAAAGCCACGACUAACUACGUG
rnacentral:rRNA from 1 species